GUGCCAGCCGCCGCGGUAAUACGGAGGAUCCAAGCGUUAUCCGGAAUCAUUGGGUUUAAAGGGUCCGUAGGCGGUUUAGUAAGUCAGUGGUGAAAGCCCAUCGCUCAACGGUGGAACGGCCAUUGAUACUGCUAGACUUGAAUUAUUAGGAAGUAACUAGAAUAUGUAGUGUAGCGGUGAAAUGCUUAGAGAUUACAUGGAAUACCAAUUGCGAAGGCAGGUUACUACUAAUGGAUUGACGCUGAUGGACGAAAGCGUGGGUAGCGAACAGGAUUAGAUACCCUGGUAGUCCACGCCGUAAACGAUGGAUACUAGCUGUUGGGGGCAACUUCAGUGGCUAAGCGAAAGUGAUAAGUAUCCCACCUGGGGAGUACGUUCGCAAGAAUGAAACUCAAAUAAAUUGGCGG
rnacentral:rRNA from 1 species